rnacentral:rRNA from 1 species
UACGGAGGGUGCAAGCGUUGUUCGGAAUUAUUGGGCGUAAAGGGUGUGUAGGUGGUUGUGUUAGUCUUUUGUCAAAGCCUUCGGCUUAACCGAAGAUCUGCAAAAGAAACGGCACGACUAGAGGAUGCGAGAGGUGAAUGGAACUCAUGGAGUAGGGGUGAAAUCCGUUGAUAUCAUGGGGAACACCAAAUGCGAAGGCAAUUCACUGGCGCACUCCUGACACUGAGACACGAAAGCGUAGGUAGCGAAUGGG